AGUGAACGCUGGCGGUAGGCCUAACACAUGCAAGUCGAACGGCAGCACAGUAAGAGCUUGCUCUUACGGGUGGCGAGUGGCGGACGGGUGAGGAAUACAUCGGAAUCUACUUUUUCGUGGGGGAUAACGUAGGGAAACUUACGCUAAUACCGCAUACGACCUACGGGUGAAAGCAGGGGAUCUUCGGACCUUGCGCGAUUGAAUGAGCCGAUGUCGGAUUAGCUAGUUGGCGGGGUAAAGGCCCACCAAGGCGGCGAUCCGUAGCUGGUCUGAGAGGAUGAUCAGCCACACUGGAACUGAGACACGGUCCAGACUCCUACGGGAGGCAGCAGUGGGGAAUAUUGGACAAUGGGCGCAAGCCUGAUCCAGCCAUACCGCGUGGGUGAAGAAGGCCUUCGGGUUGUAAAGCCCUUUUGUUGGGAAAGAAAAGCAGCAGGUUAAUACCCCACUGUUCUGACGGUACCCAAAGAAUAAGCACCGGCUAACUUCGUG
rnacentral:rRNA from 1 species